GUGAAAAGCUGAGAGGUGAAGACAACUGGUUUUCGCUCUCAAAGUUACCUUGAGCGCGGAUAAAUGUUCUCAGUGUGACCAGAGCCGCUUUGCAAUGCAGACAAGAGUCGUUUUUAUCCUCCUCUUUGCAAUCAUCGCCUUUUUUGCUGAUACCGUAUUGUGUCAGCGGAAUAACAAAAAACCUACUGGUGGCAACCGUCCCCAUCCAGUGUACGCAGCUGAUGCUCCAUCACGUGCGCCUGUAGCUAAUUGCAGACCUGGAUUUGCGUGGUACCAUGGAAGAUGCCGGUCUACAUACGGAUAAAAUCAUAAAAUCCAUGAAAUCUGCUUAAAUUAAUUAAACUGAAACUUCUAUUUUUUUUUUCUGUAAGUUGAACAUUUAAAUUUUGCUUUUUGUUCAUUUUGAAACAUUAACACAUUUCUAGAUGGAAUAAAUACCAAUAAAAAUAUUGCAAAUAAAUGCCUA